rnacentral:tRNA from 1 species
GCCUCGAUGGUGAAAUUGGUAGACACAGCGGACUUAAAAUCCGCCGCUGGCUGAAAGGCGGCGUACCGGUUCGAUUCCGGUUCGAGGCACCA